UACGGAGGGUGCAAGCGUUAUCCGGAUUCACUGGGUUUAAAGGGUGCGUAGGCGGACAGGUAAGUCAGUGGUGAAAUCUCCGGGCUUAACCCGGAAACUGCCAUUGAUACUAUAAGUCUUGAAUUAUCUGGAGGUAAGCGGAAUAUGUCAUGUAGCGGUGAAAUGCUUAGAUAUGACAUAGAACACCAAUUGCGAAGGCAGCUUACUACGGAUCGAUUGACACUGAGGCACGAAAGCGUGGGGAUCAAACAGG
rnacentral:rRNA from 1 species